UACGGGGGGGGCAAGCGUUGUUCGGAAUUACUGGGCGUAAAGGGCCAGUAGGCGGCCAACUAAGUCCGACGUGAAAUCCCCAGGCUUAACCUGGGAACUGCGUCGGAUACUGGAUGGCUUGAAUUCGGGAGAGGGAUGCAGAAUUCCAGGUGUAGCGGUGAAAUGCGUAGAUAUCUGGAGGAACACCGGUGGCGAAGGCGGCGUCCUGGACCAACACUGACACUGAGGAGCGAAAGCGUGGGGAGCAAACAGG
rnacentral:rRNA from 1 species